ACUCGUGCUUUUUGGCAUUGAGCACACACAGAUCCAGGGCUCUCCGCGCAUAUAAAGCGUAUAAGGACAAUACGUUAUAAAUGAAACGUAGACAACAAAGCGAAGAAGAAAGCAGCGUGGAGAAAAGGGACUCAAAAGCGUUGGAGAGACAAAAAAGAAUAAGAAUAAUCGAGGUGCAAAUUCAGAAAAUAAGGAAAGUAAUUAUCAGCCCGGAACAAGUGGAAUUGAAAAAAAAGCACAUCCAAUCGGGACGUUGGUGCGAUACACAUGCAGAGCAGGUUAGAGAUUAUGAAAGCAGUGGAAUUCGAAAGGCUCAAGAAAAAAAAAAUAGUUGGCGCGAUACACAUGUGGAGAAAUUAAAGAAUAUGAAAGAAGGAAAAUUAGACAGAAUAAAAAAACAAAGUAAAGAUCGCAGGAGCGCAAAAAAAGAGAAAUUAUUACUU